UACGUAGGGGGCAAGCUUUGUCCGGAUUUAUUGGGCGUAAAGAGCUCGUAGGCGGUUCCGUAAGUCGGGUGUGAAAAAUCUGGGCUCAACCCAGUGGAGCACCCGAUACUGCGGUGACUCGAGUCCGGUAGGGGAGUGUGGAAUUCCUGGUGUAGCGGUGAAAUGCGCAGAUAUCAGGAGGAACACCGGUGGCGAAGGCGGGUCUCUGGGCCGAUAUUGACGCUGAGGAGCGAAAGCGUGGGGAGCGAACAGG
rnacentral:rRNA from 1 species